rnacentral:rRNA from 1 species
UUCUUUAAGACAAUAAAUUAAAGUAAAACCUGCUCAAUGAAGUUAAUAAAUAGCCGCAGUCCAACUGUGCUAAGGUAGCAUAAUAAUUUGCCUUUUAAUUAAAGGAUAGAAUGAAAGGUUAAACAUCUAAAACCUGUAUCUUUUAAGUUUAAUAAAAUUGAGUUAAAAGUAAAAACUCUUUUAUAUGAAAGUGGGACGACAAGACCCUUAUAAACUUACCAAUUAGUUGGGGAAACAAAAUAAUAAAUAUUUAUUAAAAACAAAUACAUAAAUUUUUAUAAAAUAAAGGAAAGUUACUAAAGGGAUAACAGCGCUAUUUCUUUUAAGAGCCCUUAUCUAAAAAGAAG